rfam:Neorickettsia helminthoeca str. Oregon, complete genome.
UCUAGUGACCAUGGUGGGAGUGACACACUCGAAUCCGUUCCGAACUCGAAAGUGAAACCUCCUUACGCCGAUGGUACUGUUUGUGCGGGAGAGUAGGUAGUUGCUAGGU